AAGGGUAGCAAUACCUGAGUAAAGCGGCGCACGGGUGAGUAACACGUGGAUAACCUGCCUCAAAGUGGGGAAUAACACCGGGAAACCGGUGCUAAUACCGCAUAUUCUGACGAAGUCUGCGGAUUUUGUCAGGAAAGGAGCAAUUCGCUAUGAGAGGGGUCCGCGGCUGAUUAGCUAGUUGGUGAGGUAAUGGCUCACCAAGGCUUCGAUCAGUAGCCGGUCUGAGAGGACGGUCGGCCACACUGGAACUGAGACACGGUCCAGACUCCUACGGGAGGCAGCAGUGGGGAAUUUUUCGCAAUGGGGGCAACCCUGACGAAGCAAUGCCGCGUGGAUGAUGAAGUAUCUCGGU
rnacentral:rRNA from 1 species